rnacentral:rRNA from 1 species
AAAUAUCUGGGGCUCUCCCCAGAGGUGUCUUUUCGAAAUGUGCUGUGUUAGAGUGCGAGAGACGCGAGUAAAAUCGCGUGUGUCGCGGUGAUGUGUAUAUAUAUCCGCAGGCACACGUGACGCGAGCGCCGCUCGCUGGCUCGCAUGUGACGGUGAGGGAAGAGCUAUAGGAGCGCACACAGGAUGAUAUCCUCUGAUAGUCAUACCCCUAAACCAUCAGGACGUGGUGUCUCCCGUGUACGGGUCAUGUCCGGUAGAUAACGUUAUAUGUCGUGCGCGGGGAGAGUACUGUCGCAAGUGUGACUCUCAGGGGAAUUGACGGGGGCGCGCACAAGCGGUGACACAUGUGUUUCUAUUCGACGCAACGAGAAGCACCUUACGUGCUCUUGAACCGCACAGCACCCUCCCUAAAUAUAGCGAUUUCCCACAAGGCACGAGUGUAGAGGUGGCACAUGGCUGUUGUCAGCUCGUGCCGAGAGGUGUUGGUAUAAGUCCCGCAAAGAGCGCAACCUUUACUUGUAGUUCCCUCCCCCAAGGGGGAACUCUACGAGGACUGCUCCGGAUAACGGAGAGGAAGGUGGGGAUGAGGUCAAGUCAGCAUGGCCUUUAUGUCCAGGGCUACACACGUGUUACAAUGCAGGGCACAAAGCGUCGCGAACCCGCGAGGGGGAGCUAAUCGGAAAAAAGUGUGCUCAGUUCGGAUUGCAGUCUGCAACUCGACUGCAUGAAGCCGGAAUCGCUAGUAAUGGCGUAUCAGAACGGCGCCGUGAAUACGUUCCCGGGCCUUGUACACACCGCCCGUCACAUCACGAAAGUGGGUUGUACUAGAAAUCGCCGUGCCAACCGCAAGGAGGCAGGCGCUCACGGUAUGACUCAUGAUUGGGGUGAAGUCGCAAC